AAUCACAAUAAAGCGCCAGGACUGUGUAGGACGAACGAAGCAAACACAGUUGACGAGGUGGAGGUUCAUCGAUGUUUCGGCGGAUGCCUCCCGGUUGCGUACUUCGACCGUCUGUUUCCGUGUAAACCGUAGAGGUGACUCUUCGAACAACACAUGGGAACCAAGUACAU
rnacentral:ncRNA from 2 species